rnacentral:rRNA from 1 species
UACGUAGGGUGCGAGCGUUUAAUCGGAAUUACUGGGCGUAAAGCGUGCGCAGGCGGUUUUGUAAGCCAGAUGUGAAAUCCCCGGGCUUAACCUGGGAAUGGCAUUUGGGACUGCAAGGCUCGAGUGCGGCAGAGGAGACUGGAAUUCUCGGUGUAGCGGUGAAAUGCGUAGAUAUCGAGAGGAACACCUGCGGCGAAGGCGGCAUCCUGGACCAACACUGACGCUGAGGAGCGAAAGCCAGGGGAGCAAACGGG